UACGUAGGGGGCAAGCGUUGUCCGGAAUUAUUGGGCGUAAAGGGCACGGAGGCGGUCCUUUAAGUCUGAUGUGAAAUCUUGCGGCUUAACCGCAAGCUGUCAUUGGAAACUGAAGGACUUGAGUGCAGAAGAGGAGAGUGGAAUUCCACGUGUAGCGGUGAAAUGCGUAGAGAUGUGGAGGAACACCAGUGGCGAAGGCGGCUUCCUGGUCUGUAACUGACACUGAGGCGCGAAAGCGUGGGGAGCAAACAGGAUUAGAUACCCCCGUA
rnacentral:rRNA from 1 species